rnacentral:rRNA from 1 species
CGUAGGUGAACCUGCGGAGGGAUCAUUACCGAGUUUACAACUCCCAAACCCAUGUGAACAUACCUAUUGUUGCUUCGGCGGGAUUGCCCCGGGCGCCUCGUGUGCCCCGGAUCAGGCGCCCGCCUAGGAAACUUAACUCUUGUUUUAUUUUGGAAUCUUCUGAGUAGUUUUUACAAAUAAAUAAAAACUUUCAACAACGGAUCUCUUGGUUCUGGCAUCGAUGAAGAACGCAGCGAAAUGCGAUAAGUAAUGUGAAUUGCAGAAUUCAGUGAAUCAUCGAAUCUUUGAACGCACAUUGCGCCCGCCAGUAUUCUGGCGGGCAUGCCUGUCUGAGCGUCAUUUCAACCCUCAUGCCCCUAGGGCGUGGUGUUGGGGAUCGGCCAAAGCCCGCGAGGGACGGCCGGCCCCUAAAUCUAGUGGCGGACCCGUCGUGGCCUCCUCUGCGAAGUAGUGAUAUUCCGCAUCGGAGAGCGACGAGCCCCUGCCGUUAAACCCCCAACUUUCCAAGGUUGACCUCAGAUCAGGUAGGAAUACCCGCUGAACUUAAGCAUAUCAAUAAGCGGA